rnacentral:lncRNA from 1 species
GUAAGCUCAAUUUUGGAUGACUUCAUUCAUGAAUGUGAACAGUUCCCUACUGCUAAUGUAAUGUGGGGGCAUUUAAGAGAAACAUAUAGGGGGGGGGGGGACUACUUUAACCCACCUUAGACAGUUGACUAUCAAAUUUGACACUUACUGUCAUACCUCAUAUUUGCCCCCGGAGGAUAACUACCUAUCAGAAGACUCGGAGGGAAAUGAGUUUUGUAACAGUUCAUAUGUACAAUUCACCUAAUAUCAAAGCGGUAAACAUUUAGCACAUUUAGCAUGAAACAUAUAGGAAAAUCAGAUAAAGCCAAAUAUAACAAUUGAUUCUAAGAUCGAAUUCUUGAACCAUGAACCGAAGUUCUGGGUUUGUGUCCCCAGCAGAGUCGCCAGAGCUGUCACACCUCCUUUUUGCGCGCUUACCCCGGAGGAUAAGAUGCACAAGGGAUUUUUUCCAAUUUAAGUGACAAUAUUCGAAACGAGAUUAUUUAUUUAUUUCAGAGUCGCCACUUGGGAAAGGUUUGGCUUUUGGUGUCCCAAGUCACCGGUUUAUCUUGAAUCCCGAUUUUCGAGGAAAUUUUCGACUUUCCAAAUGAAGUCUGCGAACCAGAAAUUCUAAGUAAGGAAUUUUAUUGACCCGAGAGAAGGUGUUAGGCACCCACGGGUCCCGUAAUUCUAGCACGGUCGCUUAAAUUGUUGUAAGGGUUAAAUAUCUUAUUUUAAUACAUGUUCAAUAUUAUAGUGCAAUUUUAAAUCUUUUUACCGCUUUGGUUAAUUUUUAAGAAAGUGAGCAUUAUUAUUGAAGGCCCUGCAAUUCGCAUUUUAUUUAGCGAGGCUCGUCUCAUUUUAUUAUUUAAAAGGGUAAACCUAAAGUAAACUACGGAUAUUCUUGAAUUAUUAUUAAUCCUAAAUUAGAUAACCAAAUGGACAAAACAGCUAACUAUUGUAUUAAUCUUCUUUCUCGUGACUAAUUCAAUAUGAUUACUUUCCUUUUUUCUUCUCUAGGCAUCAUAAAAAUUUACAUCCUACAUGUGAAUUACUAUUAUAACAACUAAUUUAUAAUGAAUACUAACAUUUUUGGAAUCACAAACAUAAAUACAUAUAAAACAACACUCAUCUUAGCAACGUACAACAUAAUAUCAAAAUGCUAGGAUUAGAGAAAAUGAACCUGUAGUUUAUACAGAUUGAAUGAACCAACGAUUACAACCGUACAUCAACACAACUUCAAGCAAACAUUUACAUUGACGUCGAGUUUCAAAAGCUCGAACUCGCCAGAAAAAUGGACAGCGACCACCUCGACCGGAACUCGAACCAGCACCCUCGACGGAACUCAACGGAUCUCUAGCUCGCUAGAAAUUUGGCGACAAUCAGAAGGUGUGUGGAUGGUUUGUCGUCGUCACUGGUUUGUUGCUGGAGGUCGUUUAUUUGGUUUCUCCUUUUCGCCACUGUAUGUCUCUUGUAUGCCGAAUGUAUAUCGUGUGUACCCCGUGUAUAUCAACUGUAUAUCCAGUGUAUGCAAUGCGUAUACUGCCCCCUCUUUAGCUCUAGAGGCUAAUUUUUUAUCCUCUAUUUCUCUGACCUUUGGUGAUGGAUUUGAGAGGAUUUUAUGGCUGUUUUUGGGAUCCGAAAAUGGAGUUCAUGUCUGUCACUUUUCUUGCUUUUUCAUCCCUUUUUUGUGUUGUUUAUGUGUGUUUGUGGAGUGUGAGUUGUAAAGUGUAGAGAGUAUUCAUGUGCUAGCAUGUGUUGGCAUAUGUUGGCGUGUGUUUUCAUGUGUGUCUCGAC